CCUACGGGAGGCAGCAGUGAGGAAUAUUUGUCAAUGGACGAGAGUCUGAACCAGCCAAGUAGCGUGAAGGAUGACUGCCCUAUGGGUUGUAAACUUCUUUUAUAUGGGAAUAAAACGUUCCACGUGUGGGAUUUUGUAUGUACCAUAUGAAUAAGGAUCGGCUAACUCCGUGCCAGCAGCCGCGGUAAUACGGAGGAUCCGAGCGUUAUCCGGAUUUAUUGGGUUUAAAGGGAGCGUAGGUGGAUUGUUAAGUCAGUUGUGAAAGUUUGCGGCUCAACCGUAAAAUUGCAGUUGAAACUGGCAGUCUUGAGUACAGUAGAGGUGGGCGGAAUUCGUGGUGUAGCGGUGAAAUGCUUAGAUAUCACGAAGAACUCCGAUUGCGAAGGCAGUUCACUGGACUGCAACUGACACUGAGGCUCGAAAGUGUGGGUAUCAAACAGGAUUGGAUACCCCAGUAGUC
rnacentral:rRNA from 1 species